GAUGAACGCUGGCGGCGUGCCUAAUACAUGCAAGUCGAGCGAACGGACGAGAAGCUUGCUUCUCUGAUGUUAGCGGCGGACGGGUGAGUAACACGUGGAUAACCUACCUAUAAGACUGGGAUAACUUCGGGAAACCGUAGCUAAUACCGGAUAAUAUUUUGAACCGCAUGGUUCAAAAGUGAAAGACGGUCUUGCUGUCACUUAUAGAUGGAUCCGCGCUGCAUUAGCUAGUUGGUAAGGUAACGGCUUACCAAGGCAACGAUGCAUAGCCGACCUGAGAGGGUGAUCGGCCACACUGGAACUGGGACACGGUCCAGACUCCUACGGGAGGCAGCAGUAGGGAAUCUUCCGCAAAGGGCGAAAGCCUGACGGAGCAACGCCGCGUGAGUGAUGAAGGUCUUCGGAUCGUAAAACUCUGUUAUUAGGGAAGAACAUAUGUGUAAGUAACUGUGCACAUCUUGACGGUACCUAAUCAGAAAGCCACGGCUAACUACGUG
rnacentral:rRNA from 1 species